rnacentral:rRNA from 1 species
AUGAACGCUAGCGACAGGCCUAACACAUGCAAGUCGAGGGGCAGCGAAGAGGUAGCAAUACCUUUGUCGGCGACCGGCGCACGGGUGAGUAACACGUAUGCAAUCCACCUGUAACAGGGGGAUAACCCGGAGAAAUCCGGACUAAUACCCCAUAAUAUGGGCGCUCCGCAUGGAGAGCCCAUUAAAGAGAGCAAUUUUGGUUACAGACGAGCAUGCGCUCCAUUAGCCAGUUGGCGGGGUAACGGCCCACCAAAGCGACGAUGGAUAGGGGUUCUGAGAGGAAGGUCCCCCACAUUGGAACUGAGACACGGUCCAAACUCCUACGGGAGGCAGCAGUGAGGAAUAUUGGUCAAUGGUCGGCAGACUGAACCAGCCAAGUCGCGUGAGGGAAGACGGCCCUACGGGUUGUAAACCUCUUUUGUCGGAGAGUAAAGUACGCUACGUGUAGUGUAUUGCAAGUAUCCGAAGAAAAAGCAUCGGCUAACUCCGUGCCAGCAGCCGCGGUAAUACGGAGGAUGCAAGCGUUAUCCGGAUUUAUUGGGUUUAAAGGGUGCGUAGGCGGCACGCCAAGUCAGCGGUGAAAUUUCCGGGCUCAACCCGGAGUGUGCCGUUGAAACUGGCGAGCUAGAGUACACAAGAGGCAGGCGGAAUGCGUGGUGUAGCGGUGAAAUGCAUAGAUAUCACGCAGAACCCCGAUUGCGAAGGCAGCCUGCUAGGGUGAAACAGACGCUGAGGCACGAAAGCGUGGGUAUCGAACAGGAUUAGAUACCCUGGUAGUCCACGCAGUAAACGAUGAAUACUAACUGUUUGCGAUACAAUGUAAGCGGUACAGCGAAAGCGUUAAGUAUUCCACCUGGGGAGUACGCCGGCAACGGUGAAACUCAAAGGAAUUGACGGGGGCCCGCACAAGCGGAGGAACAUGUGGUUUAAUUCGAUGAUACGCGAGGAACCUUACCCGGGCUUGAAAGUUAGCGACGGAUCUGGAAACAGGUCUUCCCUUCGGGGCGCGAAACUAGGUGCUGCAUGGUUGUCGUCAGCUCGUGGCGUGAGGUGUCGGCUUAAGAGCCAUAACGAGCGCAACCCCUAUCGACAGUUACUAACGGGUCAAGCCGAGGACUCUGUCGAGACUGCCGGCGCAAGCCGCGAGGAAGGUGGGGAUGACGUCAAAUCAGCACGGCCCUUACGUCCGGGGCGACACACGUGUUACAAUGGCAGGUACAGAAGGCAGCCAGUCAGCAAUGACGCGCGAAUCCCGAAAACCUGUCUCAGUUCGGAUUGGAGUCUGCAACCCGACUCCAUGAAGCUGGAUUCGCUAGUAAUCGCGCAUCAGCCAUGGCGCGGUGAAUACGUUCCCGGGCCUUGUACACACCGCCCGUCAAGCCAUGGAAGCCGGGAGUACCUGAAGCAUGCAACCGCAAGGAGCGUACGAAGGUAAUACCGGUAACUGGGGCU